rnacentral:snRNA from 1 species
AGCUUUGUGCAGUGGCAGUAUCAUAUCCAGUAAGGUUUAUGUGAGGCAUGGUUAUGCUAAUUGAAAACUAUAGUAAGGUAAUGAUCAUGC